rnacentral:lncRNA from 1 species
CUGUAAUAAAUUCAUUGAAUGAUUUGUCUUAAUUUUGUCUUAAUCAUAUAUAAAUUUAUUGAUGUAGUACGACUACAUUGAACAGGAUCACAUAUGAGAUUUAAUUAACUUUGUAAUAACUGUCAGACUUAUUAAAUCUCAUAGGCAUUGAUUUUACUGUAAUCUUAAUCUUGAGUUAAUUAUGAUUUCAUGAUUGUAAUUGUUAUUCCAUUUGAGUUACCAAUAGGCACGAUACAUACUUGUGGUCAAGAUUACCCGGUAUCUUGGUGGGAGCAAUUAUGAGUAUUAGAGUUAUGGAUUAACAAUAUAGAAUUUGUACAACACAUCGCUUGAUAGGUUUUCGGCACUUGAUCAUAGAAUAUUAUGGCCAGAGUAUGUCAACAUAUUUAGUAUGUUGAAAAUUAUCAUUAGAGAAAACCGGUAAGUAUUAAAGAACAAAAUGUAAUUAAAUUGAUUGGACCGUUGAGAUAUCGAUUUAAUUAAUGAUGUGGUACAAAUGAUUGUGUAGUAAAGAAAUCAAUGUGGCUUAGGACGAAUUAUUAUUCGAGCAUACAAUUAUGGAAGUCAGUUCCAAUCUUUUAGUGGAGUAGAUUUAGAAUUAAAUAAUUGGGCUAGUUUAAUUACAAGUCUAAUUAUUGUAGCCACUAUUGUAUGUUCUCAAAUAAUCCCCGGGUUAGCUCAUUUAAUUGACUGCACCACUACUGGAUUAAUAAGCAAGAUAACUAGCUAUUUUGGUCAAAAGCCUAAAUAUAUUAUUUAGUGGGAGACUCCAUUUAAUUAGCUUGUGUGUAAAGGGCCUUAUGUUAUUUUACAAGGUGGGUCCCCUAUAGAAAAAGCAAGUAACGUGAGUUUUGAUUUUUGAUUAUUUGGAGCCUAUGGUUUUCACUAAAGGGUGAUAUAAAAAUGCUUAUUUUCUCUAAAGAAAAAAGAGCAACCACUUUAUACAGAUCAGAGAAAAAGAUUUUUCUCUCUAUUGUUGAGAGAAAAAUUUUCUCAUGCUAGUUGCUUUAGUAGUGAUAAAGGUGCCCACACAUUAAGUGUAGAUCAAACCUGAGUCAUAACCUGGAGAUCAUUGGUGAAAGUUCGUGAUCUAAUAAGCGUGGUGGUGACGGAUCGUGAUCUAACAGUCGUGGUGGUGACGGAUCGUGAUUUGGGAGCGCCUAAAUCACUUCAGUGGAAAAAUCUAAAUCGGAUUUUCAAGGUACGAUUUCUAGAUUACAAAUUCUUGUAUAUUAAAUGAGAGCGAUCUUAAAAGGGUUUUUUAAAAAAAAUUAAAAAACCUGAUCUUUCCCCAACAAUUGGUAUCAGAGCCAUCUCAUAUUAAUAUAUAAGAAUAUUGUAUGAAAUCAUUCUUGAAAUUUAUGUAUUACAGUGGCACAAUUUAUUCAUAUAUAUAUUAUUUAUUUAAUAUAUGAAUAAAGUAUGUUUUGGUUUGUCUUAAUUCAUGAUUAGAUCUUCCAUUGUAUUUUUCUUUUGGAUCUGUAAUAAGAGGGGUAUUGUUUUAUCACCAUGUUUCCAUCUUGAUUUAUUUUACUGUUAUAGAAUUUUUCUAAGCCAAAAUUGGCCUAGGAAAUUUGUAAAUCGCUGCAGAAUAAUCACGCGAUGACAGAUCAGAGAACGAAGGCUGGAAAUUUCAGCGGCAACCAGCAGCAAGCAGCGCGCGGCCAACAGUAAACUGAGGUGAUUUGGGAGAUGAACUAACGUGAUUUCAAAAGUAAAAUGAGGUGUUCUAAGUUUGAAAUAAUAUAAAGAGAUAUAUGGAGUUAAUUUAAAGAUGGAGAGCUCAAAAUGGAUAUAUUUUAUUCUUUUUUCAUGAUGGUUUGCUCUAACCAUCGAAUUUGGCUUCGAUAACCUUUGUAAGCUAUCCUCCCUCCACUCAAUAAUGUAGACUUUUCUUCCAUUUAUUCUAUGUUAUUACGUGUCAUUUGCACAUCAAUCCAAAUUGAUGUCCCAAAUUUAUCCCAAACAAGAAUUUUACCAUCAAAAUGUUGAAUGAUAACUACAAAUGUUCCAAGGAUUCUUCUGAAUGCGAAUGAUUGAAUCACCGAUUAUUUGCUGAGCCUUGUGCUAUCGCCAUCUUCAGGUCUCUUUCAGCUUGAAGAAAUGAUAAAUUGAUGAUAGUGUCUGAGAAAAAUAAACAAUGAGAGAAAUUAUAAACAUACAACAGAAACAUAGACCGAGAAAAAUUAAAAGUAGGUGAGACCCUUAAGAAGCGCUUUCAAAAUAAUUCUGAAACAAAAGCACCCCACUUUUGAUAAUCUUUCUCCCCAGCAGAGGGCUUCACAUCUCUGUUCGUUCGUAAGUCAUAAAGUUAGUCGCUCCUUAUUCCUUUAUUCAUAGGGAGUGUAAAUAUACAUUUAUCUUGAUUAUUUGACUAAGAUUUCAAAUUGAAGAUUUAUGCUACGCAAACAAUUUUUCAAUUUGGACGAAAUAAUUUAUUAUUUUCAUGAAAUAUUGCAUGGGAUGAAUGUUAUAAAUAUCCAUAUGCCUUGCCACUUCUCAUUAAAUGAUUUCUAAUCAUCUAGAUUACAGUGAAGGUGUGUAGUAAAAAGAACAUAUAUAAAGAGUUUUUAAAAUAAUUAUUGUUAGUUGUGUUAUAAAAAGGUCCAGCUACAAUACAAGUGUAAUUUUAUACCUUUUUUUUUUCAACCAUUGGAUCCAACCCAAGAGUUGCAAAUGCUAUUACAACGGCUUGGAUGGUGUUAUUUGAUUAUUAACGAUGUUGUCCCUUAUGUUUACUAAAAGAAGAAGAAAAAAUUAAGUUUCAAAAUUUUGACACAUUGGUCCGUUAAAAUAUUUUAUUGUCAAAGGUAAUUUAGUAAAUGAACAUAUUUAUAUAUUAAAAAUAUGAAUGAAUUAUUUUAACUUGGUAAAAUACUCUCUACUUCUAUUUACUUAAAAUACCAAUUAGAUUUUAAUAAUACUAUUUUGUAUUUAGUGUAACACAAAAUUGGACAAGGUUUUAUAUAAAUUUUGUCAAUAUUAAAAUGAAAAAAAGAUAAAUAUUAAAUAAAUUCUUGGAUAGUCAUUUAAAUUCUCAUUAUAGAGUUUAUAAAUAAUAUUUUCAAAAUAAUAAAUUUCAAUAUGUAAAUUUGAGAUUGUUUAAAUUUACUUAUAUUUUAUCACACGUAUGAAACUGAUCAAUUAUUUAUUUAAUAUGAAAACAAAUAAAUUGUAUAAUAUUUAUUCUAUUACUUAAAUUUAAAAUUGGUUGAGAAGUAGAGAGAGAAUAAAUUUUUUAGAAUUUUAAAAUUAUUAUAUUUUAAUUGGGUUUAUUACAUAAAAUUAUUAAAACUUAUAGUUUUUAUUAUUUACGGAAAACAAUAGGGAUUUUUGAAGAAAAUACCAAAUAAAUUUUUUAGAAUUUUGAAAUUAUUAUAUUUUAAUUGGGGCUUAUGCAUAAAAUUUUUAUUAUUUAUAGAAAACUAUAGGGACUGCUAAAGAAAACACCAAAAUGGUGUUCGGUACAACGAGGGUAAGAUAGUUUUGUCCAUUGUGUUAUAAAAAUAAUUAAUUAUAAAAAGAAUUAGUUGAAUAUUUUGUAAAAUUUAUUUUUAAAAGUUCUAUUAAUCUUAAAGGAUUAAACUAUUAUAAAAAUAUGAAAGAAUAUGAUGGAUAAAAUUUAAUAAGAGUAAUGUUAGUUCUCGAAAUCAAAUUUUAAAAAAUUACUCUUUAUUAUUUACUAUGAGCUGAUAAUUUUAUCAAAAUAAUUUUUUUAAAAAAAAACUAAAUCAAAACAAUUAACUUUUUACAUUUUUAAAUCACUUUCAAAUACUAAAAAAGCAUUCUGAAACAGCCUUUAAACAGCCAAAAACAAACUUAUGAAUCAAAAUUUCGGUCUUUCCAUUAUAAUCAUAGUAAAAUAUUUUACAACGAUGUAGCAUCAACUAAUAAAUUGUACAACCGACGCAAAAAUCUGCCCAAACUCAAUACAAAGAAUAAUGCUUUAAUUUAAUUUUUUUUGGGGUUUGUGUAUGAACUGUAAAAUAGAAUGAAACUAUAACUGAAAGUUUAAUGUUUCUUUUCAAUUUCAUGACUCCAAAACUCUCCCAAGAAAGUCUUGGCAGCAUCCAAACUCGGAUAAUAAGUCGGCUCAAGAAAUAACUGACUCAGCGAGUCACUCGAUGCCCCACUGACCACCACAACUCCGUUGGCCUUCGCCUCUAAGCUCCCCAUCACCACCGCCAGCAACUGCUUAUACGCGUAAAAGAACCGCUUCAACGCGGCCUCCACCGCUUGCAGUGCCUGAACCAGAUGAAUCUUCGCGAAGUCUCUUUCUUUCUUCUCGUUGUACAUUCUCAUCGCCGCCUCCUGCACCCUGGGCCCACCCCUCGGGUCCACCUCCACUCCUAGUAUUAACGGUACAUUGUGUUUUAAUUCCUUGGACUGUUUCGUAAUUUCAAACAGCCCACGUGAUCUAAAACAAAACGGGCCGGAUUCGGAUGACGAGGAUAUCGAUAGCUGAUUCUUCAGCCUCAAGAAAUCGUCCGGAUCCAUCAACAGGUGGAGGUCUUCGAUCUCCGACAGAAGUUUCCAGAUUCUUUCGAGUAGAUAGCAGUCGUUUGACGCUUCUUCGAAUUGCUUACUCUCUAUCCUGGAAACGAUGCGUUUUAGGAGCUGCUGCGUUGUGAAGAUCCACGAUUCGAGGAUUUGGUGUGCUGUGUAGAGAGUCUGAUUCUCGUGAUUGUUUAUUUGGUGAUCGUAGGGGUUCUUUUUCAGAGAGUGGAGCUCGUGUGGUUUGCAAACGGCGUCGUAUUCGAGGUUUGGUUUCCCGGCGAGGUUUGGCUCGCCUAAGCCGAGAGUGUACCGGCACCCUCUCAUCUCGCACUCGAUGAUGUACAUAAUUUUAUCCGCCGCGUCCUCGGAUUUCUGCCACGUGGCCAGACGAGGCAGCAGGCUGUAUUCACUUGUUCUGUUAACCAACGUCGAUUCCCCGCCUGGAACCUUCCACACCUCAGCGGAGCUUCUAUUGCGAGCCAAGAAGCCGUUCUCCGUCGUCAAAUCGACGAUCGGAGCCGUGCCGGAGCGGUCAUCGUCCUCGCAUAGAGACGCGAUGAGCUGGAUCUGACUGGUAGCCAGCGACUCCAGCCGCCGCUUGAACUCGCGCCGGUUGGCGUACGGCCUUGGAUCGGAGAGGACGAUCGAAACGAACCGGAAGGUGAUCUCCAAAGCUUGCAGAGCCGGUUUCAAAACGGCCUCGUUUUCCCAGUUGGGAAAGUCCCUCGAGCUCCAUAGCUUCCUCAGCUCCGGAAGACGGAGAUACUGCUCGUAAGCCGAACAAGCCGCAUCUGAACAAGCAACAGGCGAUUUAGUGGCUCCCCGGAACGGCGUCGGAAUCGAAACCUGAAGUUUAUUAGAAAGCUUUGGAGACUUGCUAGGCAUUUUCGUUUUACAAUCUAGAUCAACCAUUGUUUUUGUAUCAGGGAGAGAUGAAAUAAUUAAACGUAGUCGUUUUGGGUUUCGUUAACGUUAACUUUGAUUUGGUUUGCUCUUCUAACACCAGAGAAAAGAGGGAGAGGGGUGUAUAUAUAUAUAUAUAUAUAAUAAACAUAGGGCCGUGUUUGGGGAUAAGAUUAAGAAGGAGAAAUAGAAAUAUGUAUCUUUCAGAAAAAAAAAAAAUAGAUAUAGAAAUAAAUACCGAAAAGGCGUGUGGAAUAAAGAACAGAAAGGUACUUUCGAGUGGUGGCGUAGAAAUGUAUUUUAAAAAAAAUUGUUUUUUUAAUUGUUUUUCAAAAGCAUUUUUAUUGGGUUAGGACUUAGGACACAGGCACAUGAAGCUUAUCCAUUUCUUUCACCUAACAAGAAGGAGCGUGCCCGGUCUAAAACUUGGCCUUGUUUGGAAUCACAGGGUUGGAACGGAGACUUUGGUCUUUCGCGUGUAGUUAAUUUUUAUUUUUUUUUAAAUUAAGCCCACCAUGGAUGAAGAUCCAGUGUUUCGCUCCUAUUGUAAUUACCAAUUGCAUGCUGCCACGUAUAUGAUCUGGGUCACUUAGAUGAUGGCAAUAGGAUGAGCUGCGGCAGAUCUAGUGUUUCCUGCAACACUUUGUGAAGGUUUUUGUUUUCUCUUGGGAUGCUUCCUCAGGGCAACACACAUCCUUUGUAUGUGGCUAUGGGUCAAAGCGUGUCAGCCGACAUUUGCGAUAGGCUUGUAGUAUCGAGUAUAGACCAUUAGACCACAAUUUUAUUUAUUUAUUUAUUUAUUAAUCACUUCUAGAUUUUGUUUGAUGAAAACGACUGCGGCCCAAUGACGCUUCAUUAACAGUGUCAGUGAUGCUGCAAUCUGGCGGUCUGAGGUUUUACCCAACAAGUUUGGAAAAAUCGGAUUCAGAACGACUCCAAGGUUUUACCUAUUAAUUUUAAUUAAAAUUUAAGAAGCCAGUUGGUUAUUUAACAUAACAAAUUUGAUGUUCGCAGACUGCAAAUUCGCAACCCUUGGACACAAACUGGAGGUACCUUAUCCUGUUUUUGGGACAGCUUUCUCUAUUAUUAAACUAAACUAAAUUUUAAGAUAAUAAGUAAACUCUAAAAAUACUUGUCGUAUUAACCAAUCCGGCAUCUUUAAUGAUUUAUAAUAUGUUUAAGAACUAAUCUUUAAAAACAUUGAAUUCGACAUAAACAUUUUGAUACUUAUGUUUUACCAGCAAUGUUUUAAAAAAAAAAAAAGGAAAGAAAAAUUGAUCAAAUCUCUCGCUCUAAUCCGUUUCCCAAAAUGCAUGCUCCAAUUAAAUAUCGCCCAUAUGUAUAAUAUUUUUGUCCAAAUUAAAAAUCAUUGCUUUAUCUUAGUGAGAAUGAGGAAGAAAGAAAAAUUCCAAAAUAUGGAAACUAGUUCCGAUGUGUUUCGGAUAAGUCUCUUUCUCCUUGGUGGGCUUUGUCUCAUUCCCACUUGCAAAUUUCGGCUAAAUGGACUUUGAAAGAUCUUUUUCCCUUUCAACUCAAUCUCCGUGUUUACCGCUCAACGUCACGACUCCCACCGCCCUGAUUGGUCCACGUGUCCCCCGCCGAUUGCUCCAAUCACCGUAGUGCCCUCCAACUAAAUCACGCUGCCAAGCACGUGACCGCGUCCGCACACCAGACACGUGGCGCACAUGUCACGUGCAACGCAUCCUGUUUAUCUGCCCACCCAACCUGUCGAGCAUGAGUUGGCACUUCACGUUUCCUAUAGGCUAAGGCGGUGCCAAGCAAACACGUGGGUUGCCUCCACGUGGCCUGGACAGUUCGGAUUGGUAGUUGAUGAUGAUGGAGAUUGGCUUACACGUCUAGUAACAGGACACGCGUCGCGUGGAAUAACAGCCGUUGAUUUCGCGGGUAUGGUGGUAUGGGCCGCCGAACAAAUGAGAACAGAGAUUAGUCUAUUAGAAAACAGUGAAAGCAGAAACAAGAUUAUUAUUCUUUUCUUUUUUUUUUCAAUUUUUUUACUUUGAAGUUAGUCAACUGUGAGCCAGCAAAGCAGAAUCCUUUCUAUUUAUUCAUUCAUUCAUUCAUUCAUUCAUUCGUUCUUGCGAGGAAGCAUGUUUUAGGGCACAAAAAAGGGGGCAUUAAUGCGCCAACCAAAAAAAAAAUAAAAAUGUGAAGCAUGGCCCAUUUCCUUGCCUUGUAAUAUGCACUUAAUUUUUCUUUUCCUUUAUCCAUUUGUGGAUGAAGAGAAUCAGAAUUUUGGAUUAGAUAGCGAGGACCAUGAUGCAUAAUUGUCUGUUAAAGCAAAAAGUUUUACCCAUAAUAAAGUUCUUUUUUUUUUUUUAAGUUUAAACGAUUUAAGAUGCGUAUUAUAUUCAAAUUUUAAUUCUCAUAUCCAACUUACACGUAUAUAUGGAUGAGUUCUUCUUUUUUAUGAGGAAUAUUAAAAUAUGUUUAAAUAAAGAUAUUGUUAUGGAUAAAUUUCAAAUGUCUUCUAAAAUUUAAAUUUAAAAUCUACAUCCGAUCCACAGACAUAUGGAUUGGAUUUGAAUUGAAUUUACCAAUCCGUGGAUUGGAUUGGAUUAAAAAUUUACAAUCCGUAAAAUUAUGGAUCGGAUAUGGAUUGAUAUCCAAUCCGUAAAAUUCGAUCCGCGAAUACCCCUACUAAAGGUAUUCAUGUUGCAUGAAGCUCUUCAUUUGAAACCAACUUGUUUAAUUUUAUCUUCAGUUUUUAAAUUCUGAUUUGAGAAUGCUUAUUUAUUAUUAUUUUUUCUUCUUAUUUUAGAUUAAGGAAAUUAAGCCAAAUUUUCUUAUUAUUUCCUUGAAAACAUUAUUUAACUUAGAUUGACAACCGAAGCUAAGCAUAUAUUACGCUUACUAUUCUUGCCCUUGCGUCAUGACACUUUUUAGCUUUAAUUAUCGGUGUUAAUCCUUAUUAGAUAGAUUCAAAAUCAUCUCAUCUGCCCCACUACCAAAAAGAAAUUUAAAGAAAGAACGGCAGUGUCGGUCUCGUUAGGCUAUUAUAAUUUUCCUUAUAUUAUAUGCUAAUGUCCUUUUGGAACCAACUUUGUUAAAAUAAUGCGAUAUUGUGAUCAGCAUGCCCCCUUGUUUCCCCUUGUUUCUAAGAAAUGAAAAGGCAGAUAAGCAUUCCAUUAAAGUAAUGUCACCAUUUUUGCCUCCUUGUUGCAAGUCAAAAAUCAUUUUAUUCUCUAUUAAUUCCGCAACAAAUUUGAGCCACAUAAUGACGUAUUAAUGAGAAAAAAAAAAUUAGUGACCAACCAAUGCUGAGUUGAACAUGCCCUUUAAUUUAACAAGAACACGACACUCAUUAGUAGAUUUAUGUUGACCUAAAAAGACACGAUUAUUAAUCAAGACAAAACUUAAGUUAUCCAUUGAUUAAUCGUGUCAAAUUUAGAUUAAGAGUUUUUUAACGCUCCAAUCCAUUAAUGAUAAGAUUAAUUAUCUGAUUAAAGAUAUAGUAUUAUAUCGUUGUUUAAUCUAAUUAUACCCUAUUCUUUAAACCAUAUAAUCUAGAAUUAUCUAGUUAUAUUUUGACAGAAGAUUAAUUAGAAUUUUGAGUUUGUAAUAUGUUAUUAUAAACAUGUUACACAAGUGUUUUUUUUUUUUUUUAAAUUCAAAUAUAAAGAAUAUGUUAAAUGAGUGGCAUGAUUUAUUAACAACUUGAAUUAGAGAUUCUAGACGCGAUUAAUAAAAUAUGUGUCUCAAUUUGACACACACCACACGACACGCUAACUCAAAUUGUUUCCAGGUUGAAGAAGUCUAAGAAAGAAAUUAAUAAGGAAAAGGCAUUUCUGGUCCCCGUUGAUGGCCAUUAAUUACAAUGAAGAAGUCGUUGUCGCUAAUUACAGCCAUAAUAAAUGCACAUACGAUUAGCGGAGAAAACCCAUUAAAAGAUAAAAUGAUGCAACCUCGGAAUGGAUAAGCAUUACAUGAGAAUGAAUGAUACAGCGAUUUGCCUCCUUAUUGCAAGCCUAAAUACCGAAAAGCACAUCAAAUGAAUCUCAACUUGCCUCCUAAUUGCAAGUCAAAACUCUAGAACGCACUUAAAAUCAAUCUCAAGUGGGGACGAAUUGUCAUAAAAGAAUUGAGCAAGCAAGCGGCAAUCAACCUCUCAAAUGGAGCCACUUUGUUUUAUUGUUUAUACAUUAUCCUCAAGCUUUUCUUUCUUUUCUUUUUUUAAUUAAAAAAAGAAAAGCAAAUGAACGGAUAUAAUCUUAGAAAUUACGAAGCUCCAAUUGGAAAUCUAGGGAGCAAAAGUAAUAUGGGUAAAUUUCUAGAAGCAAAAGUCCCAUAAAAGAAAGAGUAAAUCUGAAAUUAAAGUGGUUAGAAUUUAAAGUUAUGAAGGCCAAACUAUUCAUUAAAAAAAAAAGUUAAAAUUGUGGAUAUACCAUAUACAAUAUUUGAACAUUUUUUCCCCUAUUAAAAGAAUAAAUUAAAGUUUAUUCCUGUAAUUUUGAACCAAACCCCAAUUUGUUUUCUUUUUUUUUUAAGUCAACAAUAAAAUGUUUUUAUCUACGACUUUAUAGUCUAAAUGAUAAAAAGAUAAGCAUCAUGAAAUACAGAAGAUUGUUGUGCUGUCUACCUUCGCAUGUUGUUAAGGAUGUUCACAAAAGAGAAGAAUUAUGUUAUUCCAAAAAUCGAUCAGUGCGUAAUAAAUAACUGGACAGUACGGAGGGAUACAAAAAUCAUUGAGUUGCUGAUGACUAUCGUGAAAAAAAAAAUGCUCUUAAAAGUGAUGGUAAAGGGGAGUAUACAUUGAAGGAUAAACUGAUGAUGUUCACGUGCAAUCGGAACUGUGAGUUGGUCUUUUUUUUUUUUAAUAUUGUUAUACAGAACUGUAGAUAUUACAAUUAAUAUUUACAAACAGAUUCUAUAAUUGGGACCUUCUUCAUGGCAUGUACUCCUCUGAAGCGCUGCCCAAAUUCUUCAAACCCUCUCAAAUAUUCGAGGGUUGUCCACUUCACUCACAUUUCGUGAGGGAUAGACUGAUUCAACUCAAUUAUUUGAUAAUUGAGGGAGGAUUGUAAAUAACCCUCUUAAAUACUUUUAUGGAAACUCGAACCCUUACACUCAAUAUUGUAAGUGUAAGGAUUCUUUCACUGAACCAAAGGUCCAUUGAUCUUUGAAACAAAGAAAGAAAGAAAGAAAGAAAGAAAAAACAUGCACGAUACCAAUGUGUGUUAUAAAGUCAAUGAUAACAAUAAUGUGCCACAUGAUGAAACAUUGGUGCCAUUGAUGUAAUUAAUUGUUUUGCCGUAGAUAAGGAGAAAGAAUUCAUGGGAUGGUACAGUUUACAUCUGCAUCAUUCUUGUUCUCUGUAUGCUUUGACUUAAAUGAUGUGAUGGAGAAUGAUGGCUAAAUUGACAGUAUCGCACCGAAUUACCAUCAGGAUGUUUGGAAUCGGUCCAAGUCUCACCCAACUAUUGCAUUCAAGUAAUCGUUAUAUAGAAAACAAAUAAGUAAAAAGAAGGUAAGAAUUUCAAUCCACACAUAGGCUCAAGAUGAUCAGGCGGACCUAAUGUGAUAUAAACAUUUAUUAUCAUUAAUUUUUCUCUUCCUAAUUUGCUAAUAAUGAAUCCACCAAUCCCGAAUUCAGUCACAAACACAAAAACAUAUGAAAUGGUUUUCUUUUACAGACUUUAAAAAUAUGCUUGUAGUAGAUCUCUGGAGUAGCUUGGAGUCGUAAUUUUCAAUUUUGUAGAAUUUUGGAUUUAACUAAUUAACUUGAUUGUAAAGGGUUGCAAAUUAACAUAAACUAAACUACCAUGGAUAUUGAUUGUAUUUAUCAGAUUGAGAUCCUCCCGUGAUGUUAUCACGUUUUAUUAAUUAAUUUGACAACCUCUUAAAACCAUGCGCUUUUUGUCCUUAAUAUUAUCUGCCACCGCUAAUUUUUUCCCGCAUCAUUCCGGCUUCUGUCCAAUUAUUCUCUCACCAUCAGGAACUCAUCCUCUUAUCAACAACUAGUCAUAGCAUAAGAAAAAUUUAAGAAAACAAUCCCACUUUGUUAGGUUAAAAUAUCAUAUAUUGGAUUAUGGGAAGAACUUGAAUCUGUAUAUCUUAGGGUAUUUUUAGCCUUCAAGACCAUUGUACUCGACGGUUUGAUAUUAGAUUCCACCAUUAACUUGUGCUCUUAUAUUAAAAAAUACAAAUUAAUUGGUUUACUAAUAAAAUGCAACAUUGCAAAGGAAUGAAUCUUGACUAUAAAUUGAGAAUGAAUUUUACUUAACAACGUGUGAUUAGUUAGUUAUCUCAAAACAUCACUUGUGAAUUAUCAUUGCACCAAAUUUAAACAUACCCUUAAUCAAUAGCAUCCGUAGGAGAAGCAAAAUAAUUGACUUGAGUCGUCAACAAGAUCAUCUUCGUGAAUCCUUUGGGGUUUUGUCGUCGUCCCAUUUCGCCGAAAAGUGAGUGAGGUGAUCCUCUAUUAUCAUCUCCACAUUUGUAUUAGACGACAUGUGCCAUAUAUAUUAUGUUGAACGUCUUCGGUUUAGCUGGCUUCGUUGUUUGCUGAUCUUCAGCACUUGAAAACCCCCAAUUCAAGGUACUUGAAUGUUAAAGCAAAAGCAGAAUUGAUUUUGACAGUAGUUAGAUUUAUUCAAUGCAGCCUUAAAGGAUAUAUACAUAUACAAGAUUUAUUUAACUCAUUGGGAAAAAAAUUAAUCGUCUUCUUGAAGAAAAAUUAAAAAGGUAAAAAGAUCCGAGUGAUCAAGAAAUUAGAGCACGGCAAAUUAAGAAACUGCAUGCAAACACAUUAGUCGAACAAACUGAGACCCAUGUCAUCAUCAGACUCUUCUGCAGGCUCUUCUUUCUUUUCUUCCUUGGCGGCUGCAACAGGGGCAGCUCCAGCAGCUGCAGCUGGGGCCGCCGCAGCUGCAAACUUGCUAGGAUCCUGUAUUUAUAAAAGAAAGUCUUAGAUAGGAUAGUCUCAAUAAAAUAAUUCAAUAAAAUCAUAUCAUGUUUUUCAAAAUUUCUCGUCAAUAUCAUGCUUCGUUAAUGACUUAAUUUCAUAGGCCGAGCUAUAUAUAAGUAGUUACCAAAAUUUAAUUUAAUAUAUGUUACUAGGGCUUGAUCAGGUGAGUGUUGUCGCUCACUUCGACAUGCCACGUGACAGUCUCAUUUUGGAUGGGACGUGAGUCCUCAUCUAAUGAGAAACUACCACGUGGUGUGAUGCUCACUUGAUCGCUUCUCAUAUGAUUAUGCAUUUAUUUAUAAUUUUAAUCGUGUUAUACACACAGUUUUUAUCCUAAAUAUUUAUACUAUUUAAAAUCGUUAGAGUGUGUUUGGCAGUGAGGUGCUGUAGCUUUUAAGCUGCAGCUGCUGUAGAGUAAAAGCUACAACUGUAGAAUAGAAGUUGAGAAAAAAAAUUUACUAAGCUGUCAAAACCCAACUACAAGUGUUAUCACCACACUUCCAAACAGGCUAUUAGUCCUAAAAUUUGCUCUUAUGACUUUAGGCCUCACAUAUUUUCAUUUCUGGCUUCUGUCUCAGUACUUGAUUCAAAAUGAAUGUGUACGUGAUAAGAUUUUUAUUGGACAGACACGAAUCAAACAGUCCCAGAAUACAAACCUUGAGGUAUUCCUUCACUUUGUCUGCUUGAGAGAAGGAGUACUCGGUGGCUACUGCAAAAGAAAGAACAUUCUUGUAGCCGUUGAUGAAGAAGUGUGGGGCAGCCGCAAUUGUUGGGUACCGAAUGGAGAGAGCCAAAGACGCGACCCUUGAGACAGCUUCAAGGAACUUCGUUGCGAUGUCAUCUUCAGUCAAGUCAAGCACUUCUGGACUAUAGACAGAGCCAUUCUCAUAGACAGACAUAACAAUGAGACCAUAAGAGAAUGGCUUAAUCGCCAGCUUCGAAAGCAAAGCAGACUCAGAACUUCCAACCCUAUCACCUUUCUUAAUAAGCUCCACUGGUGUGAUAAUUUCCACGGUUCCUUUGUUAAUCUUUGUGGGAAUGUUGAGCACCUGUACAAAAUUCGUGAACCAUUGGAUGUUUUAAGGUGUUGUGUCAAGGAUCCUGAGAAUAAGUCAGGAUUCUCUCCUAAUAUGAACUUCUCUUAAUAAAAUAAAUAUAAGAAUUGGAGGUAGUUACUGUAUACUAAAAAAAUGAACGUUAAAAAAAUCAAAUUAGAAAAUAAUCCUGAUGUCAAGCAAUAAAUAAAUUAACCUGAAAGAAAGAGGUCUGUGAGGGAUCGAGCCCGGUGUUGCCGGGAGGAACAACGACAUCAAUCGGAGCAACUAAGCCUACGCGAGCAGGAGCUGCCACCUUGUGUUUGCUUACCUCGUCGCUCACUUCCUUCAAAUCACCUUUGGUGAAAAUCAUACCCACAUUGCCCUGAUUCAACCAAAAUAUGAAAAAGAGGGGUAAAAAAAAGCCACGAAAAUCAGAAAGUAAAAAAGAACAAUUAUUGAAUAAACUGAUCAUAUGAAUAAUCACAUUACCUGAAGAAGGGGAAUGAGAUUGAGAAGGUCCCGGUUACCAGUUCUUUCAGCAUGCAAUCUGAUGGAUCGUUUCAUCAUGGUAUUUUUUCCCAUCAGAACGAUCGAAUGGUCUCGGAGACCUGCCCUUAUGUGCUGGAGCUGAUUGGAUCCCACAUUAUCGGCGGCCACGAUCAGAAUCUGGCUGUACUCCUCAAGCAACUUGCACAACCUUGCAUCGUAAGCAAUCUUCUUCUCAGCCUUUGAUAGCCUCGUCGCCAUUUGAUUUUGAUUUUUUUUUCUUUUCUCCGGGAAAAGAAAUACUGUUAAGUAGAAAUGAACUGCUUUCCUGAGUUUUAGGGUUCUAAACUGAUAUUUAGACUUGGAAUUUGGCGGUGCUUUCUAACUGAAUUCCCUCAAAUGCAGUCUUGGGUUUGAUUGAAUCAAUAUAUAUUGAAUAUUGUCGUUUUGGUUAAGUUUUCUAAUAUAGUUUCAUAUGCGCGCCACAUUAUUUUCAUCUUGUUUUACACUAAUAUAGGUAGCAUUUUUAUAUCACAUAAGAAUUGUUUUUUGGCUCAUCAAUUAUUCUGAUUACACAGGAGAAAAGUAAAAGGAUAUCCGUUAAUCAGGCUAUUGAUAUUCGAUUGUUAAGGCAGAAUAAAGCAACGGCUUUUCAAUUAUUUUGGCUUAUCACAAGCUGAAAAUAUUUGUGCUGCAAGUAGGAGAUGGCUCGUUUCUGCAACUGAGGAUAUCAGUUAUCGACUUGACUUUUUACAAUUUUCAACCCUAUAGCUCUGUAUCAACAGGACCACUUUGAUUUUCACUUUUAAUCCUUUUGCUUUUACUUUGGUAGAAUCACGGGAAACUGUCGUCUGCGAGAGCUAAAAUGGUGAGAAUCUCAGCCAAGACUAUCUCUUUCAUUAAUCUACAGCUUUCCCUUUAUAUAUAUUUUCUGAUUAUUAUUGUUUAUUUUUAUUUUUCUUAAUAUAUCAUUACUAUUUACUAGAUUCGUUGAAAUGAACUGAUGGUGUUGCUGUUAGGUUUCAUAUCAAACAAGAAGAUUAACAGCAAACUCGCUCACUCAGAAAUUAUUGGGAUUUGGAAUGCGAAAUUAUGUGAGUGGCUUUCUCACUGCUGCCAGUCUGAUAAAUUAAUUAGUUAUCUCGGAGCCAUUUCCUGAACUUAGCUGAGUCCGAAAAGUUUUCCGAGUUUCACAUCUGGCAAUGAAUGAAUGAAUGCUUCCGAAAGAUGAUCGCUUAACGAUACACCUGCGCUGGCUUCUUUAGCGCAUAUGCAUUAACAAAUGUCAAAUUUUUAACGUAAUCUAACCUCUACGCUCAAAAAGGUGCAGGGUUGCAAUGCAUUAAAAUCAAUUAAACAGAGAAAUUCAAGGUGAAGUACAUCGUAACGAAUGGUUUGAGGUGAUUAUUCCACAAUAUUUUGGGCAGAUUUUUAGUUAAUGAUAGCCCAUACAAUAAUCAGAAAUAUUUGAAGAAACUUUCCUGAUAAAAUAACAAAUAAUUGCUUAAACAUGUAAAACUUGUAUGGGACAGAAUAUAUAUUGUCCUAAAUAAAGGAUUAUAUAAAAUAAAAAGGAAACUGAGUCUACAAAAAGCAUUAAGAAAAUAAAGCAAACAUAACCAUAAACGUCAAAAUCCUAAGUUAUAGCACAAAUGACAGUGCACUUAGUCGAACAAGCUGAAGCCCAUAUCUUCAUCAGACUCCUCAGCAGGCUCUUCCUUCUUCUCUUCCUCCUUUGCAGCAGCAGCUGGGGCAUCACCACCGCCAGCAACCGGGGCAGCAGCAACAGCAAACUUGCUUGGGUCCUGCAUUCAUACGAUGAUAAAUAAUUAUAGAUUUUGUGAAGAUAUAUAGAACAAUGCAAUCGGAAGGGAAAGUGCAUGAAAUACAAACCGCCAGGUACUCCUUCACUUUGUCGGCCUGAGGGAAUGAAUACUCAGUUGCAAGAGCAACAGCAACCACAUUCUUGUAUGCAUUGACGAACAUGUGUGGAGCAGCUGCCAGGGUCGGGUAUGAGAUGGCAAGUGCCAGAGCGGUGACCAUUGAUACACUUGAGGCGAACUUCUCCACUAGGUCAUCUUCAGACAGGUCAAGGACCUCUGGGCUGUAGACGGAACCGUUUUCAUAGACAGACUGGACAACAAGACCAUAAGAGAAGGGUCUAAUCCCAAGCUUUGCAAGCAGGGCUGCCUCAGAAGAUCCCACCUUGUCACCCUUCCUAAUAAGCUCCACAGGUGUGAUAAUUUCAACAGUACCCUUGUUAAUCUUGGUGGGAAUGUUAAGCACCUAUAAAGAAUUGGAAUGGUAAGAUACAAGCAAAACCCCAAACUCACAACGUUAACACUUAACUCCACUGCUGUUUAAUCAAACAACAAACCAUAUACCUGGAAGAAGGAGGUCUGGGAGGGGUCGAGACCUGUGUUGCCGGGAGGAACAACCACAUCAAUUGGAGCAACCAAACCAACACGAGCAGGAGCUCCAACCUGUUCACAAAAUAUCAUAUAACAUUAAUGGGGGUAAAAAAGAAUACUAAUCAGAAAGCAAAUUGCAAUAGAAAGUGCCAAAUACAACCAAACUACUCAAGCAAACAAUAAAAAAACACCUGUGUCAUUGCAGGGAGAAUCUAACAAAGUCACAUCUAACUUUGACCACAAAAACAGAUUUAUAUCUAGUUACCAUCUACACCUAAGCAUCAAUUACCACACAAAUCACCUAGGCAUCAAAUUACAAAAACUGUAUAAUCAGAUGAAACAAUAUGAAAUUGUUCCACAACAAAAAUACACACGGUCUUCAAUGCUUAUUUGCAAAAAAUAAAAAUAAUCUAUACUUAAUCUACUACCAAUAGCAAUCGAAUGAACGAAAAAUUAAUAUAACAUUGUGAAAAACGUUGCACUAGUUACCAAUAACACAAACAGCCAAGAAAAAAGGAAAUCAAUCAGUUUCUUAUUAAAUAAGCAAUCAAAUUUAGUUUAAUAAAACAAUAGAAUCAGAAACUCACCUUGUACUUAGCAACCUCCUCUUUCACUUCCUUCAAAUCACCCUUUGUGAAAAUCAACCCAACAUUGCCCUAAUUUCAAACAAUAAAAGAACAACACCCCCAUCAGUUAAAACGAAAAAACUAAAAAACAAUCGAAUCACAAAAUUGAAAAAAAAAUAAUAAAAAAAUAAAAACUUUAAAUAUACCUGAAGGAGGGGGAUGAGAUUGAGAAAGGCAGUGUUACCGGUCUUCUCAGCGUGCAUUCUGAUAGUCCUCUUCAUCAUAGUGUUCUUUCCCAUGAGCACAACGGAGUCUCCACGCAGACCCCUACGAAUGUUCUGGAGUUGAUUGGACCCCACGUUGUCGGCGGCCGCCACCAAUAUUUGGGUGUACUCUUCCAGCAACUGGCAUAGCUUCGCGUCGUACGCGAUCUUCUUCUCGGCCUUCGAUGCUUUCACUACCAUUUCGUGGAUUUGGUUCUACUUUUGUUGGUGGUAAAAAGUUGUAAAUUUAUACAAAAUCGAGGGCCAAGACGAAGCAGCGGCUUGCCAAGGCGGACAGCAGCGGAAUUGCCGUCUCUUUAACCUCAACGAGAUACAAAGAGAGUGAAAGAAGUGUACAAGAAAAAACCCUAGAAUUAUCUGCGAGGCUAAUAAGAAGGAAAAAUGAAAUUGGCGUCGCUUUUAUAAUCGAUGAGCUGCGGAGACACUGAGGAUUUUAUUGUGACCCUAGAUCGGACGGCUGGGAUUGUUUUUUGUUUUUCUACGUUUGGGGAUCAAUAUGGGCCGAUCUUGGGCUUCACUAGGCAAGUCAUCAAUAUCAAAUCUAAGCCCAUUUCUUUAGAAACAGCGUGUUUGAGCUUAACUUAUUUUUGGUUGCAUAAAUUUAAAAAUUAGUAGCUUAUGUCAAUAAGCAAUGACUAUGAUUUUUUUUUUUUAAUUCUCGUUAAGUAUGUAUAUGGGUAAGGAAAAAUCUUAGAUGGGAUGGGCAUGGUACCUCUAUUUAAUAAAUUGUUAUUAGUAGCUAUACAUUAUUUCAAAAUCGAUCAAUUAAAACUUGCCUAUUUGGGAGUCUCUAAGUUACAUUUAAUGUAACAUACACAACUCAUCUCAACCACAUGAAUUGCGAGUCCCAUAAUUUUAUGUGGUUGAGAUGAAUUGUGUAAGUUACAUUGAAUGUAACUUAGCACUUGCCUAUUUAUGAUCAUUAUUAUGAUAAAGGGAAAAAAAAUUAAAUAUGUGCAAUAAUUCUAUUUGAUAGUCAUAUUAAGACCCUCAUACCCCAAGAGUUUCUUGUAGAUAAAAAGUAAAUAGUCACACCUUAGAUCAUAUGUACCUGCCGCAUUGAUUCAUGUUAAUAUUUGUUUGGCUUGACUUUGAUCUAGGUUAAAAUAUGAUGGUAAUUUCUUCUUAAACAAUGAGCAAUAAUUUUUCAAACAAUUUUUUUUUAAUUCUACUAAAAUGUUAGGACCAGUCUUAAUCAACACAAUAAUAAGAAGCAUAAUCAUAAAUCGAUUUAGAGAGAAAGUUACUUCAUUAAAAUCCAAAUUUAUUUGUAUUUUAGUAUUAAUAAAUAUUGAAGCCCUACGCUCAAACUUUAAAAAAAGACGUGAAAACUACUGAAUAGUGAUUCUCAAUUUUUUUUUCUUUUAUUAAACAAGUUAACAACUUACUACAAUUUAUAAAGCUAUGUUCUUGAAAAUAAUGUGCCACCAAAAAGUGUCUUUAUUAAUCUUUAAAAAAAAAAAAGGAAAAUGAAGAGAGUGGAACAUUUAAACAUUAUAGCACUGUAACAAGUUGGAAAUUGAUCGCAUUUUUUAACUUUAAAAAAAAAAAUUUAAUAAAUACAGUAAAAUGGAAAUAAAGCGGGUUGCAUAAAGUUGUUCGUUUGAGAUCCAAAGGACCGGUCCCCGCCAAGCAACGGUAUAUUUCUCGCAAAACAAAUUCAUUCCCAUUGUGCACCGUCCGAUCAGACACCAUUUGCCUAAUGGCGUCACCGUACAGAGAUCGGACGGCUGAGUUCCGAUCUCUGUCCCAAACUCUGAAGAAGAUCGGAGGCGCCACGACAGCCGUAGAUCAACCAAACAACUCCUUCGUUUCACCGAAACCUCCGAAUCCAGCCUCUUCUAGAUCCGAAUUCAACAAGAAGGCUUCUCGAAUCGGGUUGGGCAUCCAUGAAGCCUCCCAAAAAAUCGCUAGACUUGCCAAAUGUAAGCCCUUUCUCUCUCUCUUUUUUUUUUAAUUAGUUAUUUUAUUUUUCACAAUGGAAUUUUUAAAUUUUUAAAAAGUUUAAUUUUUUUAUUUUGAAUAUUAAUGCAUAGAUUUAGGCAAUGCUUGGUAUCUGAGAAGGAAAUUGAUUUAUCGAACUAGGAGUAAAUUAGAGAAGCUCAUUUUGAGAAAGCACCCGUUGAAUCAACCAGCUGAAGCAUCUUGUGCUCAUGCUAAUGAAUUGGCUUCUUGUUUAGUUGUUACUUAAUUGUAUUAUAAAUAUUGAUUGGUAGAAUGAAUACAAGAUUAUUCGGCAUAAAGAAAAUAAAAGGUCGCGUUCACUCUUUAAUAGUGUGCUGUUUGUUAACAUUCUAAUGGCAAGGACACAAUGGAUUAUUAAAUGCUUGUAAGUGACCCGAAUGGUUAAAAAAAGUUUCUUCUAGGGAGCAUGUAUCAAAAUUUUAAUUUAAAAGAAGCUUCUUUGAUCUCAAACUUUGCUUCUUUUUUUUUUUAAGUUUCGAUCAAACACUGGAAAUGUAAUUUCUUUUUAGUGAUGCUAUGUUGACCUUAGGUUUUGAUUUAAUGUAGUGGCAAAAAGGUCAUCGAUGUUUGAUGAUCCAAUUGUGGAGAUACAGGAGUUGACUGCUUUGAUAAAGGACGACAUUACAGCUCUCAACAUGGCUCUUUCGGAUUUGCAAACCCUUCAAAACUUGGAGAUUGCGGAGGGAAAUUAUUCUCAGGACAGAGUUGUGCAUUCGACUACUGUCUGUGAUGACUUGAAGAGCAAGCUCAUGGGUGCUACUAAAGAACUUCAAGAUGUUUUAACCACAAGAACUGAGGUUUUUAUUCCCCUGAAUAUAGCUUUUUUGGUUCAUUUGUUUGCCACUGUUUCUCUUAUUUUAAUGUUUGUAUUGUUUAUUUUCUGUAUAGAAUAUAAAAGCUCAUGAAAACAGGAAACAAAUUUUUUCUGCAAAUGCAUUGAGAGAUAGCCCAUUUAGACAGCAUGCACAACCUGUUACUGAGCCCCCACCUUGGUCAAGUCCAGUAAAUGCAUCUGAGAGUUCACAACCAUCAGCGUGAGUUUCCUUUCGGCAGACUAUCUGAAUUCUAUUGGUAGCUCUUCUGUAUGAUGAACUAGUUAUUUAUAUAACGCUGAGUGGCUAUAAUAUGCAUCUAGUUAUUCUUAUGAUGCCCAUUAGCUGUUAUGUGAAUUAAUUACUCUUGUAUAUUAUCGGCAUAUAACCUUGUCUCAAUUUCAAUUUUCGAUGAAGAAAGUGCUAGGAGCUUGAGUUUUCUUUUCUUUUAGAAAAUUUUCAUUUACUUGCAUGUGAUGAUCCAUGGCAAGGUUUACAAAAAGGUUAAUAACAUGGGAAGACUCUGAAAUACCUCUUGUAACAAUGCAGUUUCAUUAUAAUGACAGUUGUCUGUGCCUUAAAUAUAUACCAUAGAGUAUAGACAAAUGGAAAGGGCUAAUUUUGAGUUAAACAAAUGGCCAGAUGGCCCUAUGUCCAGGUGAGAAGGAAACAGAAUGGAAGCAACUUUGAAGUUCGUUUGUGCUAUCUGUAAACUCUCUAUAUGUAGAGUUUCUUGAAAGCCUGUUAUUUUUCCUGUGAUUCGUAACUCAUUUAUAUUGAUAUUAAGAUCUAGCCAUGUGCAUGUUUCCCUUCAUUUAUUUAUAGAUUCAUAGUUUUUCAUUAGUCACUAUUUGAUUCAUUUCUCCUUUUUUCUUUUUGACCAGAUUGCCGCCAGGUGGAGUCCAAGUUGGAAACCAACUGAGGUAUGUUUUAGGUUUAUGUUUUUUCUAUUAAUUUUGUACAUGUUGACAACUUUUGGUUUUAAUUAAGCAAUUGUAUUAUGUGGCCUUGUUGUGCACCAAUGCUUGGAGAAUUACUAUUUGGGUUAUACUUGCGCCCAUAAAGGUUUAGGGUGUGUUUGGUAUUGUUUUCUGAAAGGUGAUUUUUAUAUUUGUUUUACAGAAGGAAAAUUUAGUUUUUGUCGUGAUGUAUUUAUAAUUGAAAAUACAUUUGGUAUUUUAAAAAAAAAUUAAUAUCUAAAAGAAAAAUAGUAAAAUAUGUUUGGUAGUUUGUCUUAAAACAAUAUUAUUAUUGAAAAAGUAAAAAAUUAGAAUAGUAUAUAUUUUAUUUGCAAUAGGGUGGAGUAACAAUUUAUAUUGAUAUUAAGAUCUAGCCAUGUGCAUGUUUCCCUUCAUUUAUUUAUAGAUUCAUAGUUUUUCAUUAGUCACUAUUUGAUUCAUAUCUCCUUUUUUCUUUUUGACCAGAUUGCCGCCAGGUGGAGUCCAAGUUGGAAACCAACUGAGGUAUGUUUUAGGUUUAUGUUUUUUCUAUUAAUUUUGUACAUGUUGACAACUUUUGGUUUUAAUUUAGCAAUUGUAUUAUGUGGCCUUGUUGUGCACCAAUGCUUGGAGAAUUACUAUUUGGGUUAUACUUGCGCCCAUAAAGGUUUAGGGUGUGUUUGGUAUUAUUUUCUGAAAGGUGAUUUUUAUAUUUGUUUUACAGAAGGAAAAUUUAGUUUUUGUCGUGAUGUAUUUAUAAUUGAAAAUACAUUUGGUAUUUUUAAAAAAAAUUAAUAUCUAAAAGAAAAAUAGUAAAAUAUGUUUGGUAGUUUGUCUUAAAACAAUAUUAUUAUUGAAAAAGUAAAAAAUUAGAAUAGUAUAUAUUUUAUUUGCAAUAGGGUGGAGUAACAAUUUUUUUUUAUUUUACUUGCCACUCAUGAGAUCUGACUACACCAUAAAGAAACAAAUAAAAAAUAUUAAUUUUUAUCAUUUUGUUUUAGGUGUGAGCCUAGUCAAAAUUUAAUGGGUUGAAAAUGUAAUAUAACCAUUUUGCAAUUUUCAUCCUUCCUUCAACAUCUCUAGAAAACAAGUUGAAGAAAUAAUGGAAUGAAAGUUAAAAACAACUAUUUUACUAUCUUGACCAUUAAAACUCAGGUUGGACCCACGCCUAAAAAAACUAAAUUUAAUGAUUUUUAUUUGUGCAAUUGAAGAUUUGAAGUAAAGUAAAAUCGUAUGGUUUCCCAUGAAGAAUAAAAAAUUGUUAUCCAUUACUUUGCACAUAAACAAUACAAUUCUGAUUAAAUUUUUUACUUUUUGUAUUUUUUUAAUAAUAUUAUAUUAUUAUUUUCAGACAAUCUACCAAAUAUCUUUUUACUAUUUUCAUUUUUAGAUCCCAAAUUACAUGUAUCCUUUAGAGUUGAAACUUUGACCUGUUGUUUCCUCAGAAGAACAUUUUAAGGAAUGACUAAACAUCUUUUUGAAUUUAAAGAAAUCGAAUCAUUUUUAUCUAUAAAACGAUUUCAGAAACCUCAUUUGAAAAGCAAUACCAAACGCACCUUUAUCUUCUACAUGUACAUGUAAAUUACUCUUAAGCCACUAAACUUAUUCAGAAUGGACAUAUAUCUAACAUCGUUUUAUUUGUCAUUCCAGUUUAUGGUUUUGUAAAUAUUCUAGUUCUCUAAAUUUGAUACAGACUUAUUAGAAUGAAAGAAAUACAUGAAAAAAGAGGGCCUUUAAUUUUUGGUUGGGUAUUUUGUGUAUGGGCAAGGAUGAGGAUAUAGGAAGUCAACAAGAACAAAAUCCAAUAAAGCUGAAGCUAAAAGGUCCAUCACCCUUUCCUCCUUCCACUUUUCUUAUAUCAUUUUUAAAUGAGUGAGUAAUAAACGCCGAAUAUGCAACAAUCUAUAUUUUCAGUGAAUGAUAUCAGAAACCAGUAAAUGUUUGCGUGUAUCUCGCCAAUGAGAUGUCCUAUUGCUUUGAUUAUUUGCUAGUCUCGCAGGUUUCUUUAUUUAUUUAUUUGGACUUGGCACGCUGAAAGUUAAUAAUAUUAUUAUUAUUAUUUUGGCUGGCCAUAUGUGAACGUUGAUGUGUUGGAUUGGAUCUUGCCUAAACAGACGAAGGCCAGCUGUGGACAAUGCUCCUUCACACCACAUGGAAAUGUCGAUGUUACAGCAGGUAGUUCCACGGCAAGAGAAUUACUCACAAAGUAGGGCAGUGGCUCUUCAUAAUGUUGAAUCUACAAUUACAGAACUCGGUGGGAUCUUCACACAUCUGGCCACAAUGGUAGCACAGCAAGGCGAACUAGCUAUCAGGUCUGUUCACCUUACUAACAUAUUUGAUGUUUGUACAUUUGGCUUUGGAUGUCAAAAGAAUUUACCCAUCCAACUAAUGUGAGCAGGAUUGAUGAUAACAUGGACGAGUCAUUGGCUAAUGUUGAAGGUGCUCGUAAUGCUCUGUUGAGGCAUCUAAACCAAAUUUCAUCAAAUCGAUGGCUUAUGAUCAAGAUUUUUGCCGUCAUAAUAUUUUUUCUGACGGUCUUUAUGUUUUUUGUGGCAUGAAUUGGAAUACCGAGCAUUCAAUAAUUUUGUUGCUGCUGUGCGAGUAUCUAUUUUUCACAAUCCAUUUAUAGCUAGUCAAAUAUGCUUCUUCAUUCUGUAAAUUCGAUCUGCAACUUUUUUUGCUGUAACUAGUAAAAUUAUUAGGAAUCUAGAUAUACUUAAAGAAAGCAUAAUUAGACAUCAGUUCUUUUGUGGGUUGUGAGAAUAUCAAAGGCAAAUUUGAUGCCCAAGUUGAAUUUGUGACUGUAUACUAUUAACUGAUACAAGAGUUAUAUGAUGUCUUGAUGAAUAAGGAUGUUGGUUUUUAUCUUUCCUAUUGCCUCGACCAAAACUUUAAUUUAUAUAGAUGGAGAAAUAUGAAUACACAAAAUAAGGGUUUGACUGAGUGGUUUCGAGCAAUUCUCUUUAGCUGGCCAUGGGAGGUCGAAGUAUUUGUUAAAUGAAGGGUCGGAGACAUAAAGUGAAAAUCAUACAAAUUUAUAUUUUGGGAUACCCUUUUUGGGAUAAACUAUUUGAUGGCUAACAUUGCAACAACUAAUCACCAACUUGUAUUUUCUUGGUUAAUAUAUUUUGUUUGUAUCCUGGAUUUUCCUUGCAUACCUUUGUGCCCUGUAUGGUAAUUUUAUUUUCCGGACGAAUAAAAUUUGGUUCCAGGCUACAAGAUAGCCACGAAAAGGUUGACGUAAAGGGGGAAAGCUUGAUUUAUCACCUGUAGAAUAAAAAGACAAAAGAUCCAAUUUUCUUUCUUUUUGCAAUCGCAAAUGGAAAGGAAGUCCCAUAAUUACAAGUAAGAUAAGACAUUCCAAGUUGACAAUAAUCUUCAAUUCUUCAUGUCUACGUAAAUUCUCAAAAUGGGUUAACAAGGCAUUUCUGGUCUCAUAAAGCAUUACCUAUAUGCUUUCUGCCUAACAAAAAUCUUAUCUCAAACAAGUCUUUGCAUCACACACUCAUCUUAUCUUCAGAUUGCUAUAAUUGGGACUAUGAUUGAGUUUAUAUUUUUGACUAAUUCAUCCCCACGUAACGUGGCACAGAAUAUUCGAACUUCAAGGUUGAAAAAAAAAAUUGUAUCAAAGAGCUUUCGACGCUCAAGUUAAUUAGUGACCAAAACUCAAAAAAUUUAUCUCAUAUGUCACAAAAAUAUUUUCAACCUUUUUGUGACAUAGCAAAAUCCUCAUUGCACUUGUAACAUUCGAGCCUCUGCAAGAUAGUGGUAGCCCCGUAUCAACGUUAGGCCACAAAAUUAAAUAAAACAUUCCAUUGCCUGUUUUGGUUUUUGUUCAUUAACAGGUCACAUCUAACAGGAGUCCAUAUUCAAAGGCUUCAAUCUUCAAGCACCUUUUAUGGCCUCUUUUCCUCUCAUUAUUGGCAUACAUGACUGCGAUAUUUCACUUGUUCAAAAGUUUCCAUGAAAGAUAUUGGUAGAUGAUUGAAGGUGAUGAAUAGACUAAAGAGCAAAAAACACUGCAGAAUUUGCCAACAAGGCAGCAAGCCUAACUCUUGUGCAACGGUUAAAAAUAGUUCACAAAAUUUUCCCCACAAGCAAACAUAUCUAAGGCAAAAUUCACAACCGUAUUUUGAAGAAAGAAAUUGCAAUGAAUGAAUUUGAAAUUGAAGUAAUUUUGUGAAAGCAGCUGCUGCUUGCGGCGGCCAUGUGAGCAUGUCUAAUGGGGGAGAAAAAAAAAGAAAAAAAAAAAGGAGCGGAUUUAUGUCAAGAUUUUCUAUCAUUUUGAUGGUCUCUGCCUGCUUUGUUUGCAUUAUACACAUCAACUUUGAUGUAACAUUUCCUUAAUUUUGGUGCAAAAAUUAAGUUGAAUUUUUUGCAAGAGUAAGAUGCCACCUAACUUGCUGCUAUAAUUUUUCCAUCGAGUCAAUAAUUUGAUAAAUCAAAUUGGGUUAGGUAAUUUAUUUCCCCCAAAAAUAAAAGGGUUAGGUAAUUUAUUUUAGGACAAAAAAAGGGUUAGGUAAUGACUAAUGAUUUCGGUUUCUUCUAGGCUUUUUCAAUUAUAUCAGUCUAGCUAGUGUGCUGUGUGCCAAUGAUUGCAUAAGAAGAAUACUUGUCAGAAUAUUCAAAUUUCUUUAUACUAUUUGAGCUUUUCUUUUUUUAAAAAAGAAAAAUAAUAAUAAUCUUACAUUGAAAAACUUCUAAACAUACUAGUUUAAAAUUUAAAAAUUUAUCUAACUUGUCAUCUUUUUUUAAUUUAAAAACUGUUUUGAUAUCAAUAAAAGGUAAAUGAAUAUAAUAAUUUUGAAAUACCCAAAUUCGAUGAAUCUUUCUAUGAUGUAAUUUUGAUGUACAUUGAGCAAUGUCAAUUAGUGACAGGUAUCAUUGCGUCCAAGUGUGAAAAUAUAUAGUGAGGUAUAUAUAUAUAUAUAUAUAGAACACGCUCAUGGAUGUUCAACACUUCAAAAUAUAAAUUUGAAACUAGAUAAUACUAUCUUUUAGUAGUUGGUAUAUUUUUUCUUAUGAAAAUAUACUUGUUUUUUUCUAAAAUUAUGUUCACAUUAAUUUGCUUAGAUGAAAUAUGUAAGAUUACUUACAAACUUAAUCUUUUGAUGACCUAACUCUUUGAUCAAAAGCUAUAAUAUCUUUGCUGGCCUAACCAUUGAGUCGUAUAUAUCUCUCUUACCAAGGGAAAGACAAAUGGAAUCAAGGGCCAAUAAUUUUGCUUAAAAUUUCUCUUAAUUCUCUCAAUUUGUCAUUUUUGGGGCAACUCAAAUCUCUAACUAGCCCCUCAAAGCAUAUUGGGACCCCAAAACUACUUAUUGCUUUGGCCACUAUCAAAAUCUUACUGUAAUUGAAAAGAAUAGAGGCAAAAAUAAUGUUGACUCCGUAUCUCAUCAUGAACUUGACACUAAAAUUAUGUAAUUGAUAGUUAUCAAAUAAUUAUGAUGAUGAUAUAUAAUACAUCCCAUAUCCCUAGGACCCAUAUAAAUCAAAUUUUUGUAGAGUAGUGAUUACUUUACAGUCAUGCUGGUAGUGAUUAAAGCUGGCCAAUGCCACAUGAAGACUUGUGAAUUAUCUUCAAUUAGUGCAAUAGCUAAUGAGGUCGAGUUCUUAUUAGAUUUGAUGACAAUGAUAUGGGUAUGUUGCUCGAUUUCAAAAUGCCCUAAAAUGAAAUAGGGCACAAAAGAUUAUGUUUGAAUGAGUAUGCUUGUUUUUUUUUUUUUUUUGGGGAAAAAUAAUUAUUCAUCGGUUGUUUUAGGAAAAUAUAGUUUGUUUCCUUUCAAUUAUUUCCUUGAUUUAUUAUAGUUUUAAAUAAUUAAAACCAAAGAGUUUGCUUCAAGUAUUUCCCCUUAUUUGGGUACAACAAGCAUUUUUCUUAUUGAUUAUCUGUGUUGGGUUGUCAUACAAACAUUGUCCUCAUUACUAUUAUUAUUGUUGUUAUUAUUAUUAUUAUGAUUAUUGUUAUUGUUAUUGUUAUUUUUUACAAAAUGAUUGAACCAACUACUAAAAUGACUUCGAUGUCCUACACUAAUAGACAUUCAUUGCAUUUCUUUGCUUAUAAAACUUAACGUUAUGAUAUUAAGUACAAUUAAUAUGUCACACAAUCAUUUCUUGCCCACUGAAAUAUUAAUUGUUAGGAAAUUAAAAAUAUUACUGUGGGCAGUAGAGCAUGGUUUAGGAUGCUUGUAUUGAUCGACCCUUCAACAAAACAGAGAUUCUAAAGGGAAAUUCAAAAUUAAUUAAUUAAUUAAUUGAAGGCAAAAAGCUCGAAGCAGAAGCCAAAUUGCAUAUAAAGCUUGAAAAGAAGUAAAAAGAGAGACAUUUUAAACAGAUAUAUGCUUCGAUCUACACAAAUUCCAUCUAAUCAUUAUCUCAUGGCUGUGGACCUAUUUCUAAUUAAUUCAAUCAUUUAACGAAUAUGGAAAAUCAUUAAGUUGAUUAGAAAUGUCCAUCGAAUUAAUGCUUCAAAGUUUUAUUGUUAAUUACAUAUUAGAUUCGUUAGUUUCUUAUUAAAAAAAUUAUAUUUUGUGAAAUUUUUUAUUUUAAUUAAUUUGUCUUGUCAGAUUAGCUCAUUUUUGAAACUCGAAUCGGGUCCUAAUUAAUUGAGUAGGGAUAAAUUUGUGUCCCCCUAAUAUAAAUGAAGUGGAUAAAUUCUGAUUAAUAUAUCAGUGUAAAAAAAAAAAGGUUGGGGGGGGGGGUCUUAUUGCUAGUAAUUAUUGGAAACUUUUUUACGCGGUAAAGGGAAUGUGGUAACUGGCUAACUCAUUCUUUUAAUCAUUCCGUCUCCCACUAAUCUCUCAUUAAACUUUCGAAUUAUUUAUUAGUCGAUAUUUUAAGUACAUUUCUUCACUUUCACAAAUCACUUUUUUUUUUUAUUAAAAGAAAAGCACUUUUUGUUUAAUAAUAUGCAUGCGCUCAUCGUUAAAUAAUCACUCCAAUAAAUUGAAUUUGUAUGCAACGUAUUUGUAUUUACGUUAGUUUCUUUUUUCUUUUUUCUUUUUGUAAUUUGUGACGUACGAAAGACAAAUUGACCAAAUCGUUUACAAACUUAUCCCUCCAAUAAAUGAUGUUCACAGAAUUAGCGAUCAGAUAUAUCUCUUUGUAAUUUUUUUUCUAAUUAUUUUUUUCUACUCCUCAAAGAUUUUCUGUUUUUUUUUUCUUUUUAAUAACCUCUCAAUUAUAUCGUUUUUAUGUUCAGAUUGCAAGAUUAAAAUCUUAUUUGAUGUUGAGGUGCCAAAAAAAAAAAUAUAAAUAUGAAAUAAAAGUUAAAAAUGUGUAGUAAAUAUAAUUUUUAAAUAAUAAUUUUGAAAAAAUUAAUAAAGAUAUAAUCGAUUUUUUUAUCGUAUAAGUAUAAAAUCAAAUCAACUUAACUUCUAAAGUAGAACAAUUAGUAAUUAAAUAAACUUAACUUCUAAAAUAGAACAACUAAUGUUUAGUAAACACUUUAGUACUAUAAAUUCUUUAACCUUAAUGCCAAACAAGGUUUAUGUUUGUGUAAGAGUCAGUUUAUGGACCUUGUGUUGGGAUUAUAUGCUCUUUUAAAGCAUAUUAAUUUAUUUUCUGAUUAAUAAAAUAUUUGAGAUAUUUUCAAUUGCAUAAAUAUAUAUUGAAUAAGGUCCGUUUAAUCAUAUUAUAUGUAUUUAUGUGAUCAUCAUAUGAAUUCACAUAAAACAUAAAUACAAGUUAUCUUAUGAUUAAAUAAAUUUUGGUUCGCAGUUGAUAAAUAGAGUUGGACGUUUUAUUUAUAUUUAGACUGUAGUAAAUUCAUUAAAUGAUUUGUCUUAAUCAUAUAUGAAUUUACUGAUGUAGUAUAACUACAUUGAGCUGGAUCACAUAUGAGAUUUAAUUAACCUUGAAAUGACUGUCAGACUUAUUAAAUCUCACAGUCAUUGAUUUUACUGUAAUCUUAAUCUUGAAUUAGUUAUUAUUUCAUGAUUGUAAUUGUUAUUCCAUUUGAGUUACCAAUGGGCACGACACACACUUGUGGUCAAGAUUAUCCGGAAUUUUGGUGGGAGCAAUUAUGAGUAUUGGAGUUAUAGAUUAACAAUAUAGAAUUUGUACAACACAUCUCUUGAUGAGUUUUCGGCACUUAAUCAUAGAAUUCUCUGGCCAGAGUGUGCUAACAUAUUUAGUAUGUUGAAAAUGAUCAUUAGAGAAAACCAUUAAAUAUCAAGGAACAAGAUGUAACUAAAUCUAUUGGACAAUUGAGAUAUCGAUUUAAUUAACGAAGUGGUACAAAGGAUUAUGCAGUAAAUAAAUCAAUGUGGCAUGGGUCGAAUUAUUAUUCGAGUACACUAUCAUAGAUAGCAUACAAUUAUGGAGGUCAAUUCUAAUCUUUUAGUGGAGUAGAUUUAGAAUUAAAUAAUUGGAGUAGUUUAAUUACAGGCUUAAUUAUUGUAUCCACUAUUGUAUGUACCCAUAUGAUCCCCGGGUUAGCUCAUUUAAUUGACUGCGCCGCUACUGGAUUAAUAAGCAAGAUAACUAGUCAUUUAGGUUAAAAACCUAAAUAUAUUAUUUAAUGAGAGACUUCAUUAAUAUGCUUGAGUGUAAGGGGUCUUGUGUUAUUUUACAAGGUGGGCCCCCAUAACACAAGAACAAGUAACGUGACUUUUGUUUUAAUUAUUUUUUAAUUUAAAUCAAAUGGG